GUGAGGAAUAUUGGUCAAUGGGCGAAAGCCUGAACCAGCCAUGUCGCGUGAAGGAUGAAGGUCCUAUGGAUUGUAAACUUCUUUUGCAGGAGGGUAAAGUGAGCUACGUGUAGUUCAUUGCAAGUACCCUGCGAAUAAGCAUCGGCUAACUCCGUGCCAGCAGCCGCGGUAAUACGGAGGAUGCGAGCGUUAUCCGGAUUUAUUGGGCUUAAAGGGUGCGUAGGCGGACUAAUUAGUCAGCGGUGAAAUUUUGCGGCUCAACCGUAAAACUGCCGUUGAAACUGUUAGUCUUGAGUGCGGUAGAGGUAGGCGGAAUGUGUGGUGUAGCGGUGAAAUGCUUAGAUAUCACACAGAACACCGAUUGCGUAGGCAGCUUACUGGGAUGCAACUGACGCUCAUGCACGAAAGCGUGGGGAUCAAACAGGAUUAGAUACCCUUGUAGUCC
rnacentral:rRNA from 1 species